AUCCAGUUGAUAAGUCCCAAAUAGGAGGAAACGCGCAUCACACUGGAU
rnacentral:hammerhead_ribozyme from 1 species